rnacentral:SRP_RNA from 1 species
CCGUACUAGAUGGGGCGGUAGCGGUGCCCUGUAACCUGCAACCCGCUAUAGCAGGAUCGAUGCCGCGCUGAGGGUCUAUUCUUUUGGGGUCUGGCCCUGGUAAGUGGUGUUGACAGUCGGGUCUUACGCAAUGGAGCUUUGUGAACCCCGUCAGGUCCGGGAGGAAGCAGCGGUAAGCAAAUGUCUUCAUGUGCCGUAAGGGAGCCUGGCUCGAGCUAACUGUCAGGGUAACGCCUGGGGGGAUAGAUUCGAUGCAGGUGUACGG